rnacentral:rRNA from 1 species
UACGUAGGGUGCAAGCGUUGUCCGGAAUUAUUGGGCGUAAAGAGCUCGUAGGCGGUCUGUCGCGUCGGCUGUGAAAACUCGGGGCUCAACUCCGAGCUUGCAGUCGAUACGGGCAGGCUAGAGUUCGGCAGGGGAGACUGGAAUUCCUGGUGUGCGGUGAAAUGCGCAGAUAUCAGGAGGAACACCGGUGGCGAAGGCGGAUCUCUGGGCCAUAACUGACGCUGAGGAGCGAAAGCAUGGGAGCGAACAGG